UACGUAGGGAGCAAGCGUUGUCCGGAAUCAUUGGGCGUAAAGCGCGUGUAGGCGGUUACAUAAGUCUGUUGUGAAAGUCGGAAGGCUCAACCUUCGAAAGCCGAUGGAUACUGUGUGACUUGAGUACGGAAGAGGAGAGUGGAAUUCCUGGUGUAGCGGUGGAAUGCGUAGAGAAUCCGGAAGAACACCGGUGGCGAAGGCGGCCUGCUGGGCAGUAGCUGACGCUGAUGCGCGACGAGCGAUGGGGAGCAACAGG
rnacentral:rRNA from 1 species